rnacentral:rRNA from 1 species
AUGAUACGGGAGACGGGGCCAAUUCUCGGAGCACUCUUUGCGGGGCCCAACUACAAGUUUACCGAGAACAACUACGUCUACCGUGGGGAGAUCGGCGCGGUGAACCACAUGGUGGUCUGCGUCGCAUACGACUUCGUGGAGGUGCAGCAGGGUGUUGAGGAGCUGCAUAUCCGGAUCUUAGAUAAUCACCGCCGCAAAGGACCUUACCGGUGGAUUCUCUAUGAAGCGUUCCAUAAGUUCACCUGCAUCCAGGUAGAAGCCAUGAACCGUGAGGAGCUGCGUAUCAGCGUCGGGGUACCAGCUCCAUCAACGGAGGCAGCUCGGCUUCUGGACCUCCCCAAAGACUGA